rfam:Mesocricetus auratus contig056519, whole genome shotgun sequence.
AAAUGAUGAGAUCACCGAAAAUAGCUGAAAUUACUGGCAGGUUGGUAGUGGUAAGCCUAUGGUUUAAA